UGGGUAGUAUCCAAUAUGGAACUGCACCUGAUUGUUUUUAUUUCUAAAUUUGUAUAAAAACUGCUCACAUCAAUAAAAUUAAGACAAAAU
rfam:Clostridium botulinum A str. ATCC 3502 complete genome